rnacentral:lncRNA from 1 species
AGGUUUUAAAAUAGCCACGCAGUCGCCUGGCCUCUACCGGUAUCCACUUGAGCAGGAUCUGGAUUGACUUUUUCUCAUGAAUCUUUGCUCCAAAAAUCAGAUCUGAAUCUGAUCUGGAAGAUCUUCAAAAGAUCUUCUGAAGCUGGAGUAGCAGCUUCUCGACAAAUCUCUGUAGCCUUCUGAUUACGAAGCCACCACGCCUUGGACAAGUAUCAGAUGGAUGCCCAACUUCUUGAAUGUGAAGAGGGGA